GAUAAACGCUGGCGGCGUGCUUAACACAUGCACGUCGAACGGUAAGGCCCUUCGGGGUACACGAGUGGCGAACGGGUGACUAACACGUGGGUGAUCUGCCCUGCACCUCGGGAUAAGCCAGGGAAACUGGGUCUAAUACCGGAUAGGACCACUGCGUGCAUGGGUGGUGGGGGAAAGCUUUUGCGGGGUGGGAUGGGCCCGCGGCCUAUCAGCUUGUUGGUGGGGUGGUGGCCUACCAAGGCGACGACGGGUAGCCGGCCUGAGAGGGUGACCGGCCACACGGGGACUGAGAUACGGCCCAGACUCCUACGGGAGGCAGCAGUGGGGAAUAUUGCACAAUGGGCGCAAGCCUGAUGCAGCGACGCCGCGUGAGGGAUGACGGCCUUCGGGUUGUAAACCUCUUUCAGCACCGACGAAGCGCAAGUGACGGUAGGUGCAGAAGAAGGACCGGCCAACUACGUGCCAGCCGCCGCCGUAA
rnacentral:rRNA from 1 species